GAUGAACGCUGGCGGCGUGCCUAAUACACGCAAGUCGAGCGAACGGACGAGAAGCUUGCUUCUCUGAUGUUAGCGGCGGACGGGUGAGUAACACGUGGAUAACCUACCUAUAAGACUGGGAUAACUUCGGGAAACCGGAGCUAAUACCGGAUAAUAUUUUGAACCGCAUGGUUCAAAAGUGAAAGACGGUCUUGCUGUCACUUAUAGAUGGAUCCGCGCUGCAUUAGCUAGUUGGUAAGGUAACGGCUUGCCAAGGCAACGAUGCAUAGCCGACCUGAGAGGGUGAUCGGCCACACUGGAACUGAGACACGGUCCAGACUCCUACGGGAGGCAGCAGUAGGGAAUCUUCCGCAAUGGGCGAAAGCCUGACGGAGCAACGCCGCGUGAGUGAUGAAGGUCUUCGGAUCGUAAAACUCUGUUAUUAGGGAAGAACAUAUGUGUAAGUAACUGUGCACAUCUUGACGGUACCUAAUCAGAAAGCCACGGCUAACUACGUG
rnacentral:rRNA from 1 species